rnacentral:tRNA from 1 species
GCUCCUGUAGUCUAGUCCGGUCAAGGAUACGGGCCUCUCACGCCUGUGACCCGAGUUCGAAUCUCGGCGGGAGCA